UUAGAAAUACCUUAUUCUAAACUUUUUCUCCCUUUUGAGUUACUACCUCUUCUCAUUAAAAAAGGGCAAUAAACAAAGCCUACCCUGGAAAGCCAAAGUAAUCAUUUAGAGAUUUACAUCCUCCUACUGAUUCUAACAUGCUCCUUGGUGGCAGAAUUUCCAUCUCAGUUGGCAUCCCACAGAUGAGGAGGAUCAAUGCCCAGCAUGGCAGACCUAACAAUGUCUAUUCCUUUAUAGCAUCUGCAUGCCCAUGAGUUUAGUCCGAUAGUAAUACAGUGUCUCUGAUUGCUGAUAUUCAUGCUGGCAAAAUCAACACACCUCCAACUGAUUUUGCUUGAUGUCAAAGACACCUAGCAGUAACUCUCAAGUGUCUUGACAAGAUGCACAGAUGGCUUCUUUUCAGUUAAUAAUCUUUGCUAAUAUUAGCUUAAAGUUAUUUAGAAUAUGUGCAUCCUGAAUGGCUGGAUCUUAUUAAACUGGUCCCAUACUCAUCAUCAAAAAAGGAAUGUUGUCAUAAUUACCUAUCACAAGAGGCUCAUGGGAGAGAAUCUGCUCUUGGCAACCAGAGUCAUAUAGUUCCAGGCAUGUGCCAGUAUAAACUGGCAGUUUAUGCUAUUAAAAAGACAGUAAGCAGUUUUAUUUUGCAUUUCUCCUUUGUACUAAUGGGUCUUUUCUUGAACCUUCUUAUGCAAUGUAGUUGAAUAUUGGGACCUGAAAAAGGAAUAUAUUCACGGCCAAGAGACCAUAGGUUUCUGAUCCUCUAUGUUUUUGUUUACUGGACAAGAAAUAGAGUUGAAGUGUUUUAGAGGUUUUUGAAGCAAUUAAUUGUUACUGAAAAUUUAAGAAUUUGACUGUGCUGCUCUUUAAGUUCUCUUUGGUUUCAGGAGGCUAUGAAUUACAGAAUGAUUCUAUGCAAUCAAGUAAGGAAGUGACAGGUAAAAAUUGCCUGUUCAAUGUCAAUGAGCAAAAAGUUAUGGAGUCAGGUGAACCAUAGAAUCAUAAAUUGUUGUUUGUCCUUUAUUUUGAAGAGAACCAAUGACAUCAUGCAGUGAUGUCUUGACUUGCAUGUCUAUUAGAUUUAAGUGAGCCAGAAUUACACAGUUAUAGCAUCUCUCUUCCAGUCCCUCAUGUCCAGUGGUAAGACAAAAGUCAGGAUGACUGGUGAUAGCCCAGGAUGCAGUAGAUGACCUUGAUUCAGCAUCAUCGAUGUUUAACCAAGCUCUAAGUGCUCCAUGAUGCCUGCUUCAGCAGCCUUCCUGACCAUUAGGACAAAUUAUUCUAUUCCACCAGGGGAAGUCUUAAUAUGUUUGAAGUAGAUAUACCCUGAAGCCUAGGAUCAGGUCAGAUGAUGAUGAAGUUCAAGUUAUUAAAUGAGGAGGAAUAAAAUGAACUACAAAUUCUCCUUAGCUCUGAAUCCAUGCUAUCUCCUUUCUUAUAUGUUCUGUGAAGGUUACUGAAGGCAAGGACUAAACAGGGAAGACUUGAACAGGCUCAUCAUCCCAAAGAUCAACAAAGGUUUUGGAAGCAGAGACAGUAGGAGGGGAUAAGGAUUCAAAAGGCAAAGCCUCUGUGUGGAAAAGAAGAACAGACAGUGAGAAAAUGAACUCUCUCCUUCAACAAGACACAUCUCACCUGUUCUGGCUUAGGUCAUGUGCUAAAAUUUUUAGAAGCUCCCAGAAAUGCCAAAGACAAGCAUUCAAGGAAUAACUGUUGUGUUUGCUUGUCAUAUAAGUCUGACUUUAAUAACUCUAGUGGUUUUUAUGAGAAACCAUUUUUUCAGGGGCCAAGAACAAAGGCUGGUCCUAGGUGAAAUGAUGCAGGUAUUGGAAUUGCCUUUGGCAGAACUUCCCUUCUGAAUACCAGCUUUCACUUUCCUUUUCUCCCUAUCAUGUUGUCACAUCCAUUUGUGACAACACUCAAUAGUGCUCUCCUCUCUGGUCCUUCCUAAUCAUCAAUCAGCUCCCUGUGAAAACUUAUCUUUUAACUCACUUUUUAUAAGUUUGAAUAUGUCCUAAAGCUAGCUACCCUGAUCAACUAAAUUUUGUAAGGUAUUAUAGGGAAAUGAUGUAUAAAUAGGUAGCAGUCUGCCAUCUCUAUAGUACAAGCUCCUUAUGCAUAUUAAUACCAUGUUAAUUUUAGUAAAACUUCAGCAUCUUUCAUAUUCUUCUACUCGAGAUCAAAAUGUAUAUUUCUACCUUUCCUCAUGUGAAAGAGGAAGAAACAUGCUUUGUUCACAUUGUAAACUCUUACUCUUCUGUCUCCAAUGUUAUUUCCCCCAGAAUCUUGUGCCAUCAAUUAUCCAUUUUCUCUUGUAGUUUCACUCUGUCAUUCUCGAGUAUUAUCCUUCUUUCUACAAACAUGUUCUGUUGCCCUGUCCUAAAAAAAUAAAAUAAAAAGAAACCUUUUAAAUUUACCACAUAA